rnacentral:rRNA from 1 species
AGCGAACGCUGGCGGCAGGCCUAACACAUGCAAGUCGAACGAACCUUUCGGGGUUAGUGGCGGACGGGUGAGUAACACGUGGGAACGUGCCUUUAGGUUCGGAAUAACUCAGGGAAACUUGUGCUAAUACCGAAUGUGCCCUUCGGGGGAAAGAUUAAUCGCCUUUAGAGCGGCCCGCGUCUGAUUAGCUAGUUGGUUGAGGUAAUGGCUCACCAAGGCGACGAUCAGUAACUGGUCUGAGAGGAUGAUCAGCCACAUUGGGACUGAGACACGGCCCAAACUCCUACGGGAGGCAGCAGUGGGGAAUCUUGCGCAAUGGGCGAAAGCCUGACGCAGCCAUGCCGCGUGAAUGAUGAAGGUCUUAGGAUUGUAAAAUUCUUUCACCGGGGACGAUAAUGACGGUACCCGGAGAAGAAGCCCCGGCUAACUUCGUG